rnacentral:misc_RNA from 1 species
AGCCAUGUGGCAGCCUCAGGAGUCUUUCAGAACCUGUUCUGGUUCUGAGGAUUGCCCGACGCACAAAUAGUUCUUUGCUCAAUUAAAUGCUGUUACAUUUAAUUUGUCUAAAGCUUUUCUUUUAACAGAUGUUUAUAAGAUAGGUGUUCAUAAGCAAGAGAAUGUAACUCUAUUUGCCUUUAAAUACUUGUUAUGAAGAAGUUAUAUUUGCAAAGUUCUAAGAAAGCUGCAAUCACUUGCUGUUGCCGGAAACUGCCUUGUGGCCUGGCGUCCUGGGAAUUUGCUUGGCUUUUUGUGGCCGCCAUCCAAAACUGGGAACCACAAGUCAAAGAUGCUGGGAAAUGCCAUCAAUCCAGAAGAGAAAUGCAGCCGCGUGAUGCCUCACUCACCAGAAGGGAUUGCAGGGUGACCCUGUCUGAUUACCAGCCUCGACUUAGGAAAUACAGCCAAUGAUGAAAUUCAUGGCAGGCAAAUUCCCUGUUCAAGGUGGAGCAACAGCAUGAUGGAUGGGCCAGCAGUGAUGGAUAGCCCCUCUGAAUUUUGGUUCAUGGGUUUCCUCCAGCAAGGACUGAGUUGUCCCAGAGAUAACACUCUACCAGCGGCUGGGCUCUGGGCUGAAUGCUUGCUUAGGGAUAACACCCUCAUUACCCAGUAAAGCAAAUUAUUAUUGACAAUGUAAGGUUUUAGUUCCUUUCGGUAAUUUUUAAAUUAAGCAGACAGCCUGGCAUAUGGAUCAAGAUUCCUUGAACUCUAAAAGAUUCUCUCUUCCAAAGUAUUAGUGAAACAUAGAAUUAAAGUAAAAUGAAAGAUUUAUAUAUAGGAUUUAUAUAUAGAAGCUUCAUAAUCCUA